GAUGAACGCUGGCGGUCUGCUUAACACAUGCAAGUCGAACGGGCUCUUUCUGGUUCUGGUGGCUGCCGGGUGAGUAACGCGUUAGAAUCUGCCCUUUUGAGGGGCAUAACGGUUUGAAACGACCGCUAAUACCCCAUGUUCCUAGCGGUAAAAAGUUAUUCGCCAAUGGGUGAGCUCGCGUCGGAUUAGCUAGUUGGUGUGGUAAGAGCCCAACUAGGCGACGGUCUGUAGUUGUUCUGUGAGGAUGAGCAGCCACACGGGGACGGAGACACGGCGAAGACUACUGCGGGAAGCAGCAGUGAGGAAUGUACAGCAAUGGGCGCAAGGAUGACGGAGCAAGACCGCGUGAAGGAAGACGGUCUGUGGAUAGAAAACCUCUGUUGACAAGGAAGAAGUAGUGACGGUAACUGUCGAAUCAGCAUCGGCUAACUCCGUG
rnacentral:rRNA from 1 species